UACGUAGGGUGCAAGCGUUAAUCGGAAUUACUGGGCGUAAAGCGUGCGCAGGCGGCUUUGCAAGACAGAUGUGAAAUCCCCGGGCUUAACCUGGGAACUGCAUUUGUGACUGCAUGGCUGGAGUGCGGCAGAGGGGGGAUGGAAUUCCGCGUGUAGCAGUGAAAUGCGUAGAUAUGCGGAGGAACACCGAUGGCGAAGGCAAUCCCCUGGGCCUGCACUGACGCUCAUGCACGAAGACGUGGGGAGCAAACAGG
rnacentral:rRNA from 1 species